CCUACGGGGGGCAGCAGUAGGGAAUCUUUCACAAUGGGCGAAAGCCUGAUGGAGCAACGCCGCGUGCAGGAUGAAGGCCUCCGGGUUGUAAACUGCUUUUAUAAGCGAGAAAUAUGAUGGUAACUUAUGAAUAAGGAUCGGCUAACUACGUGCCAGCAGCCGCGGUCAUACGUAGGAUCCGAGCAUUAUCCGGAGUGACUGGGUGUAAAGGGUGCGUAGGUGGCAGGGCAAGUCAGAUGUGAAAGCCCGGGGCCCAACCCCGGUACUGCAUUUGAAACUGUCCGGCUGGAGUGCAGGAGAGGGAA
rnacentral:rRNA from 1 species